rnacentral:sRNA from 1 species
UCAUGAUUGAACCCAACGUAAAUGUGGCAGUGCUGCUGGUUCUGAAUCCGAUGGAUCUAACAAGGCUUCUUUGAUAUCAUUGCCCAUUCACCUUGCAAGGAGCAAAAGCACAUUGACGUAUGUUGUUGUGGCUUGCAAUUUAGGGCUGCACUUCUCAGGGGAGUUCCACCAAACAACAAACAACUCAUUUCCCUCUCCAUAAAUGCUUGGAGCACCAAUUUCCUGACUUUCGUUCUCCCCACAAAUACAAAAAUUUCCCAAUGAAUUGCAGGCGCCAUAUUCGGCUUUCUUGAUUAUUUCUUAAUCAAAAUUAUUGCAGAUACCUUUGCGUAUCCGCGCCUUUUCGCGGCUUUCGACGCGAAAACCCUGACACUUCUUCAUACAUAGACAGGGGCCAAGGCACUUGGCAUAGCCCACUGAGCUCUAGCAAUGCAUAUACAUCGACGGCAAGCCAGAAAUCUCGCCUGGUAUGAUGAAGGGGAAUCAACAUCCAACCGGAACCCUUUCAAAAAGUUCCGGUACCGCUCUAUGCGCACCCCUGAAUCUUGCGCAGAGGAUGGGUUUCCACGCGAACAAACAGAAGGCAAUACUAUACCGAGACCUGAAUGGGAAAGGCGAGAAGAGGGAGAUAACAUCUUCUCUACACCCUACCAUACAGAUACCAACCCCCCAGCCUCAAGCCAAUCGGUUGGAAACGUUAUUGAAAUGACACCAGCAGGAUCUACGACUAGUGCUGCACCUCUGACAACAACAAACGGAGAACAACCACACGAGGUUCCUGAAAAGAGUGCUUCUACAAAACGGAGAUUCUUCAGAAACGGUGGUAAUACUGAAUUGGCACCACUGGAGCCUGAAGAUUCUGGAAAAGAUAAACAAAAAUUUACAGCUGUAGGGCAGUUGAAGGCUACCGUGCUAAAUUCUUGGAUUAACGUCUUACUUCUCAUGGUCCCCGUUGGGAUCGCGGUCCACCAUGCACAUAUCGACCCUAUUGCAGUUUUUGUUAUCAAUUUCAUUGCCAUCAUCCCUCUUGCCGCGAUGCUAAGCUAUUCUACCGAGGAAAUUGCGCUCAGAACGGGGGAAACCUUGGGCGGUUUGCUAAACGCAACAUUCGGGAAUGCUGUGGAGCUCAUCGUGUCUCUCCUGGCCUUGUUCAAACAUGAAAUCGUGAUUGUGCAAACCUCACUUAUUGGCAGCAUGUUAUCAAAUCUGCUACUGGUUUUGGGAAUGUCCUUCUUCCUUGGAGGUAUAAAUCGAAUCGAACAAAACUUUAACGUCACCGUGGCUCAGACAGCGUCCAGCCUGCUCACCUUGGCGGUUGGAAGCCUGAUAAUUCCUACUGCGUUUCACGCAUGGUCCAAUGCUGGUGAAGUCGGAAUUGCGCCGCUUUCGCGAGGAACAAGCGUAAUUCUGCUUACCGUGUAUGGAUCGUAUCUCUUUUUCCAACUCAAGUCUCACACGGAAAUGUACAAUAAGCCAAGUGAAAAAGUUGAAAAAAGGCGUGGGCGAGUCGGGGCUGGCGAUGCAACCAAAGGCAUUGCGCAGAUUGGGGCCGGCAUUUCUGCCACUAUGGGUGGAGAGAAUUCUCAACGUGUUCCCAUGGCCAUCCCAGAUGAAAAAGAAGAACCUCAACUCACUGUCUGGGUUGCCUUAUUUACACUUGCUGUCUCCACCGCAUUGGUAGCCCUCUGCGCCGAGGCCAUGGUCGGCUCAAUUGAUGCGAUUACCACUCGUGGCCACAUCUCAGAAACCUUCGUGGGGUUGAUUCUCCUUCCAAUUGUUGGCAAUGCAGCCGAACAUGCAACCGCCGUCACCGUUGCGGCCAAGGAUAAAAUGGAUCUCUCCAUUGGAGUUGCAGUUGGUUCGAGUAUGCAAAUUGCUCUUUUGGUGAUCCCUCUCAUCGUAGUUAUCGGCUGGAUUGCUGGCAUCAAUGAAUAGACAUUAUACUUUGAUGGAUUCCAAAUUGCGGUCCUCUUCGUUUCCGUGCUACUGGUAAACUAUUUAAUCCAAGACGGCAAGUCAAAUUGGCUAGAGGGUGUGUUGUUGAUGGUUCUCUACAUCAUUAUCGCCGUCGCAGCUUGGUUUUAUCCCUCCAGGUCAGAACCAACCGCUGCACAGACGUGAUUGAGUGCUUGUCGCCCUCAAUUCCUCUCAUUUUAAAACUUUUUUUAAUGCCAUAUUCUGCCUCAUUUCCUUUGAGCACUCCAUACCUGCUUGCUUUUAGUUUAUUUUUAAUUUUAACCGGUUACGGACGCUUCUCAUCCUUUGUCGUUCUUCCUAUCGCGCUCCUGGGUACUAGAUAUAUACGUUCCCUUGGGAUAUUUUAGCCUACAAUAAAUAACAAUCUUUUCCUAUAUCUAGUUAGAACUUUCCUUGAGAUUUGGAAGGUUAAGUUAACGUUAACUACUUAAAAUCCUUCCCAUGCCUUAGCUGCGUACGAAAGACUUCAACAUGUACGGUCAAUGUAAUACAGGUCUCAGGGGGCAUUCUUCAAGUACAA